UAGUUGAAAAGAAAUCGCGCGCUUAUUCAGACGUGUCACGACAUUAGUUUGUACUUGUUCUGAAUAAAGCUUUUUGGUUCGUUCAGAAAAGCGAAAAUGCUUUUUUUUCCUUUGCGGACACGCGAAGCAUUUUAAUUGCUCAUUCGGGAUCCUAUAGAACGCGCUCAACACGUGGUCCUUGUAGUGCGCGGUCUAGUGUAAGAGCUAUCACACACAAAAUGACAUAAGCUGCAUAACCUUUUGACAAUAUCUAUUGAAAUGAUCUAUAACAAAUAUGUAUGCAUAAACACGAAGUAUUCAUCACGAAGUGUUAUGUUGCGUACGAUCCUUGAAGUUAAGCAACGUUGACGGUGGCUGAUAGUUGGAUGGGUGAUCACUUUUCGGGCGCAGAAAUUAAACAUGUUCUAACAGAUACGACUGUAGCUUGAAACAUGUAGUCUUCUCUCCCUUACAAAAUUAUCGUAGAAAUUAAAUGAUGCUAGAUUGGUAUCCUCAUUGGAUUCUUCUACAUUUACAGUCAGAAGUGAAUAAAAUUUUGGAGGAAGUAAAAGCUCAAAAAGUUAUUGAGGAGUCAAAUAGUCUAUGGAUUUUCCUGACUGUUUUAAUUAAAAGAAGGACGGAACAAUAAGAUUUUGUGCGGAUUAUCGGAUAUUGUUACAAUAAAAGAUCCUUAUCCACUUCCGAGGAUUAACAAUAUUUUGAAUUGUUUACCGGAGAAUUCAUGGUUUUACACUCUCGAUUUGAAAAGUGGAUAUUGGCAGGUAAGCUUAGAUUCUAAAAGUUGAGAAAAAACUGCAUUUUUUAUUGGAAACAAUUUGUGGCAAUUAACAGUUAUGCCUUUCGUUCUUUGCAACGCUCCUGCGACUUUUGAACGUCUAAUUAGCUUUUUACUUUUCUUAUUCGCAUGUUUAUUUUUUGUACAAUAAUACAAAUAUAUUUAAAAAGAAAUAUCGAUGGAA